CAGUAGCCGCGGGAAAACGGAGGGUGCAAGCGUUAAUCGGAAUUACUGGGCGUAAAGCGCACGCAGGCGGUUUGUUAAGUCAGAUGUGAAAUCCCCGAGCUCGACUUGGGAACUGCAUUUGAAACUGGCAAGUUAGAGUCUUGUAGAGGGGGGUAGAAUUCCAGGUGUAGCGGUGAAAUGCGUAGAGAUCUGGAGGAAUACCGGUGGCGAAGGCGGCCCCCUGGACAAAGACUGACGCUCAGGUGCGAAAGCGUGGGGAGCAAACAGGAUUAGAGACCCCGGUAGUCCCUGUCUCUUAUAC
rnacentral:rRNA from 1 species